GCCCCCUUAGCUCAGCUGGACAGAGCAUCGGUUUUCUAAACCGACGGUCGCUGGUUCGAUCCCAGCAGGGGGUA
rnacentral:tRNA from 1 species